GAUGUCUGCUUCACUUCCAGGCAUCGCAUUUGUGAUCCAGUCAGUAGGAAGAGGGAAUAGCAGAAGAGAAUCCCUACCCAUUCCUCCCCCAGCCCACAAGGAUACUUCCAAGAUGUCGUACAUAAUAUGCCAUGUAUGCCAUACUGGCCUGAACUUAGUUGCGUGGCCACACCUAGCUGCAAGGGAUGCUGGGACAUACAGUCCUUAUUUUUAAAUCAGGAGUUCUGGUUUCUAAAGGAAAAAGAGGGAACGAUAUUGGGAGACAGCUAGUAAUUUUGGCUACAUUCCUACAUAGUUUAGGGUAUUUCCUUCCAUACUUCAUUUUUCUAUGCCUAGGGAGAGAGAAUUUAUUUAACCAGAGAUGAGAUUAUAUUUUACGUACUUGUCUGUAACUUGAUUUUUUUCCUAGUUAAGGAUACAUCAAUAGCCCUUUUCCAUCUUAUUAAAUAGACUUCUGCAAACUAUUUUUAGCAUGAUCAUUCCUUGUUGAGCUGGAUGGUAAUUUAUUUAACUAAACCCCCAGUGAAUGGAAUUGUAAAUCAGAUAUUGAAGGUAAAGCUUCAUGACACGUAUGAGAUUUAUUUUUCCCUGUAGGAUAAGUGCCCAGAACUUGGAUGGAUGGAGCAUAGGAUUUGGGCAUUUGAAGGGGUCAUUGGGCAAUUAUGGAGCUCCCCAGACUCUGGGCUAUGUGGGGUGGCUUGCAGCAGGCUGUGUAAGCCCCCUUCUGCUGUUACUAUAGCGAUUAUUUUAUCAUCACUCCGAUUCCAAGGCCCUUGCUGUUCCAUGACACUUUGCUUCUGACUCCCCGCCACCCAGAUCAUGUUGGGGAUGGGGUCCUCAGGGCACCCCCUUUUCUUUGUCUUUGAUGUGUUCUGAAGCUCCCUCCCACUUCCCCCCAAAUCAUCACUUCCCUUUGCUCCCAGCCCAUCCCCUGGCCCUCUCAAGUUUCACCAUAUGUCUGGUGAGGUCACCCCAGCCAAGGCAGAGGUGUCCUUGGGGGCAGUCGGGCCCCUCCCCAAGCAGAUCAGGUUGCCGGCAUCAGUCUCGGGGAGUGACUUCAAGGCCUCUUUCUGUCCUUUUUAUCUCCAGGGAGAGAUUUAUCCUCCCCAGGCGACAGCAGCCAUGGGUUCCAGGCAGAUGGCAGCUCCCCAGGGGCACCCCUAAGGGCAGCUGCUACUUGUUUUAAAGGCUGAUGUAGUUCACUGUCCACAGUCACUUACUGAUGGUGUGUGAUUGGGUGUGUUGGGGACAUAUUACCAGGCCAGACUGUCUGGGUUCAAGGCCCAGCUCCUUCACUUACCAGCUGUGUGGCUUUAGAUAAGGUCUUUACUGCGCUGGGCUCAGGCUCCUCUGUGGAAUGGACAUCGUGAUAACAAUGCCUGCCUCCUGGAGUUUGAGGAUUAAAACACCUAGAGCAGCACCUGCACAUAAGGCCCAAAGAUGUAGAUAGUGAGUUUAAAAAAGUGUUCUUCUUCUAGUGGCCUCUCUCAGCUCGGUAUCAGUUUACUUUGUGGAGCCUGUUCUCAGUUUCUCCCUGUCUCUCCCAUCCUUCCUCCACAGACCAAUCUCUCUUGAGCACCGGCUGUGUGCCAGCCUCUGUUCUAGGCACUGCGUAGAUGGCCAAGGAAACUGUCUUCUGCCCUGAGGGAGCUGAUACUUUAGUGAGGGAGAUGAUGCUGAAUGAUCAAACCUAUCCAUACUUAAUUGAUAAGAGCACAGCCAAUAGCGGUGACGUCUGUGAAGGGUAACGGGUUCAGGUGGCUAUGUAGUGGGUGAGAUCCUCUCUUAUAUGGGUCCAGAGAUGGUGGGGUCCUGGUAUGUUCAAGAAAUAAAAAGGAGACCAGUGUGCCUGUGGCUGAGCCAGUGGGGUGAGAAGAGCCCGCAUUAGACAGUCUUUGGGCUGUGGAAGAGGUUGAAUUUUUUCUAGGUUUUAAUCAGAGCCUCUUCUAAGGCAAGGAUUUCUUGACCUUGGCACAGUUGUUUGCGGUCAGCUGUGUCUUUGUGGGGCUGCCCUGUGCACUGGAGGGUGUUUAGCAGCAUCCCUGGCCUCUACAUACUAGAUGCCAGGAGUACCCCGUCCUCAGUUGUGACAAUCCAAAAUGUCUCUAGACAUUGGCACAUGUCUUCUAGGGGGCAAAAUCACCCCCAAGUUGAGAACCACUGGGCUCAGGCUAGGUGGGACCGGGGUGGGACUAGCCUGGCAUUGGGAGACCUGGUUCUAAUCUGUGUUUUGUCACCAGUUUGCUGUUUGACCUCAGACCAGUGUCUCAUACUCUUGGUUUCUCCAUCAACUGGGAGCUUGUUGGAGAUGGCAAACUCAUAAUCCUUCUAACCCUCUCCCUGCCACAUCCAUGGCAGACAUCACUAAUCAAUCAUGAUGUGGCUUCCUGCUAAGUCUAGAGCUCUGGGGACCAUGGAGACACUCAGGCCGGGAGCCGAGUAAACAGCCCCUCUGGUCCUUCUCUUAUGCCCCAGAAGACCUGGGUAUAUACUUAGAGGAACUUGAACGCCUGGGCUCGAGGAAACCUGUGCAUCACCUAGAGGAACUUACCCCAGUCGACCUAAGUGUACAGCUGAAAGAACUUACACCUGAGCGCCAUUGUUUACAGUAGGGAUGCUUGAAACAAGUGUCUGCAGCAUGGUAGUGAUUACCUUAUGCUAUAAUUUUGACUAGUAAGCAAUGAAAUGAACAACUUGAGGUCUGUCUUAUUGUGGAUUCUCCAAAGAACACGUCCCGAGACGAUUUCAAGGGCAAGUAGCGUACUUGGGAGGUCACCCAGGAGGCAUCAAUAGGAGAGUCGGGGAGUGAGGCAGGGAGGAGAAGGCAGCCAAGAAGGGUGUGUCAUCAAGCGGGUUACCAUGGGGGCUGCCGGAGCUGAAUCCCAUCAAGGCACUCGGGGAGAUAGUGUCCACCGAGUGCCUCAGUUUCCUCAUCUUUCUUUUCAUGCCAGGCCCUGCUGACCAUCACUGAGGGCUGCUCCCAGGCAGUCUUACUUAUUCAGCACUUCCGGCCUGCCCUAUGCAUGAGAGCGGGGCCUUCAGGCCCAGAGAUGCGGGCACUGGCAGCUGGAUGUGGUGUGGGGUAAGGGUGGGGUCUGGAUGGCAGAUGCUGCCUGGUGUACAUAUCAACAUGGGUAAAUGUGGAAGACGUGAUGUUGAGAGAGAAAAUCAAGUUGCGGAAAGCAGGCUACUUAUAAAAAUGUUGUGAACAUGCAAAGCAGUAUUCUCUCUUGCUUAUAGAUGCACACGGGCAUGGUAAGUGGGCAGAGGCAUGUGUGGGAAUGAGGAGCACCGGCUCCAAGUACCUUGCAGGGAGAGAAGGUGCCUAGUGGCUCACGUCUCUCUGUAACGAGUUUUUUCUGCUUUUUCUAUUUAAUACAUUGAGGUUUGAUAUUUGCAUGGUACUGUGGGUCAACUGAACUAAUCUCAAGUGCAUACUGCUGGGGCUUUGCAUAUGCAGCGACCUGUGUCACCACUGCUCGGAUCAAGAUACAGAACGUUUCCAGCACCCCCGAGAGCCUCCUCAUCCCCUUUCCAGUCUGUGCCUCCCCCAGACUUGUUGAAUUUCUUUUUGCAGAUGGUUUCAAGCAAAUUUGGUGUAGUGUUAAGAUUUGCCACAGCUGGGUAAUGAUGAGUUUGUGGGUGUUUGUUGUUUCUCUCUAUUCUCUAUUCUUUUCUGUAUCCUUGACGUACUUCAUUAUCAUAUUCAUAAAAUGAAGAGGAGGACUUGGGCAGAUGUGAGGACAAGUGGUCCAGGCACGGGCAAAGCUUCUGAGGCUGGAGGAGUUUCUCAGGCAGCCCUGGAAAUCCUGAGAACAGUAUUGUGUCUAAGGGAGUCUUCGGAGAUGAGAGCUGCUUUUGACCUGACUGUUUCAAAGCUGUCAAGCCUUGGACAAAGGAAGAGUCACCCUGGAGGGUCCCUUUCACCAUUCCUGCCAGUGCAGGGGACGCCGGUGCUGCCUGGAAAAGCCAGUCGUGCCUUGGGCAGCAGGAGGGCUGGGCCCAGAGCCCCUGCUGCCCAUUCUUUCCGGGUCACGAGCUGCCCAUUGUGGCCUUCACACCGGCUUGUUUGCGGUUCCUCAGUGGGUGGCCCGAGCCUCCCAUUGUUGCAGCACAAUAGCGGUGGCAGAGCUCGUGUGAAGAAACCAGGACAGGAAGCCCCAAUCUAGGCCAGCAGAGUGUGGCACUCCCAGCUUCCUGCCCUCCUUGGCUGUGCUGGGCGAGGCUGUCUUUGUCUCCCUCUAGUCUGGGGAGGCUGGAGACAUGACUUCCUGUCAGUAUCCCAGGCCCUGUUAAAACAUCCUCUAGGAACCCCAUCCCUGUCCCCCCCCGCCCAUUGUCAUUUAAAAAACAGGAUCCGCAGACUUCCAAGGAGCCUGAGUCCAGGUCUCUGCCAUGUGUCAGGCACUGUGCCAGGCACAUUCCAUACCUUCCUUUGAUUUUCAAGCACCUGCUAUUUGCUGAGCACUACAUUUGGCCCUGAAGACGUAGCUGUAAACAAGACAGGCAGGGUCCCUGCCUUCAGGGAGCUUCCAUUCACUUUAUCCCAUGACAUUCUAAAAGGUGCUGUAUUCCUAUGAUCUCCACUGGCAAGAGUAAAUGAAGACUCAGAGAGGCUAGUGCACUUUCCUGAAGUCACACAGCAGGAAGGACCCGUGGUUGAAACUCAAACUCACCAGUUUCCAAACCUGGCCUCUGUUGUUGGAUUGGGGGUUAUGGUUUCAUCCCAGCCAUGAUCCCUGCUUGUCCUGGCCUUUCCCUUAGGAUUUUGUAUAGAUUAUUUAACCUCAGUUUCCUCAUCUGUCAAAUGAGCUCUUAACGCAAGAUGGGAAGAUAGGAGUUUGCAUUAAGAAGAGGAGGGCCUCUUGGUGGAGAUGGCGUUUGAACUAAGGCCAGAUGGAUAAGGAGGCUGCUCAGGGCAGAAUGGGGGAGAACAUCUUGCCAAUAGGAACAGCAUAUGCAAAGGUCGUGAGGCAGGAGUGUAUUUGGCAGGUGGAUAGAAUCUAGAAUGACAGUGUGGCUGAAGAUUGUUUAUAUUGAAUUAUGUGGGAGGAUGAAGUACUAGAAGAUGAGAUCGGAGAGGUUAACAAGGACAAGGUCAUGGGGACCAUGGGAGGAUUUGGAUUUUAAGUGCAGUGGGAAGCCAUGGAGAUUUUAAACGCGUGGAUUAACUGAUCUCUUGUACAUAUUUAAAGGGAUCUCCCUGGCUGUGUGUGUAGAGAACAGACUUUUGGGAGGGUGAAGGGGACCAGGAGGGAAAUGGCUGUGUUAGUCCAGGCAAGAGAUGAUGAUGGCUUGGACUGGGGGGAUGGCUAUGGAGAUGGGGACCAGUGGUUGUAGUGUUCAGGUGAAGCUGGUAACAUUUGAUGUACUGGAAAUGGAGUGUCAGGCAAGAGGGUUCUGUGGGUCAACUGGCUGGUGGGUUUUGGCUAGAGCCCUUGAAAGGCAGAGGUGCCAUUAAUCAAGUGGGGAAGAGCUCGGUAUGAGUUUGGGGAAGGUCAGGAAUUAAGUGUUGGACAGGCUGAGUUUGGACAUCCCGGUGGAGACAUUGAAUCAGCAGCUGGAGAUAAGAGUCUGGGGUUUCAGGGGAGAAGUCCAGGCUGGGGAUGUAAACAUGGGGGUCAUCAAAAAAAGGGAAUUUAACCCAUUUAUGCCAGAGGUUGCAAUUUUUUUUUUUAAUAAAAAAUCAGACCUUGGCAAUGACCUUGAAGAGUAGGAUAUAAAUAACUCCCACAAGCUUAGUGUUCCAGUAAUGGAACUCUAGGCAUAGAUGGGUGAAAGCCCCAAGACUAGCUGAGAUGGCUCUGCACUCUGUGUGGACAGAGACAAAGCUGCCUUCCUAUGUCUUGCCUUUUUCUGUGACUCACCUUGUGGACUGUCAUUGUGCCCCCUCCCAAGAGGCUUGAGUCUGGGCACGUGGCCGGGCUCCUGGGGGCAGGCAUGGACGUGUUGUGUCUCCGGGUGAUGGAAAGGAUCUGACAGCCGUGUGCAGAGGGCCACCCUCCUCUCUGCUUACCUGCCCCGCUUACCCUGACCCCAGCGCUAUCUUGGGCUGUCCCCGCCAUCUCUCAGAGAUCUCCCCAGACAAGCGUGGUGGGUGAGACAGGCUCUCGCAGCCCCUGUCUUAAUCAGCCUGCACCUGGGUUCUGUGACAGGAAGACCAUGUACUCACCUGGACCAGCCCCCUGGGGAGCCCCAAGCUGUCAUCUGUCUUGGCAGGGCAGGUGACUGAUAGGCCCCACAGCUCCCCAUGGCCCUGCGGGUGUAACACCAUGAAUUCCUUUUCCCAGGGGUCUCCGUGUGGCUGCUUCCAGGUUAGGCUACAGCCAGAUCCCACAUCCUGGAGUUGGGGCAAACCAGGUGGAGGUGGCUGUGGGUACUGGGCCUCGGUCUCCCUUAGGUGCUGACUCUGCUGUCUCUCCUUCCCCCAGCAUUGAUCACUGUGACUCUCUCAGCCCAUUCAUGUGACCCCUUGGCAGCUCUUCUUUCUGCCACUUUUCCACCCACACCACCUGGUGCCAGGCCACCGUCAUCUCUUGUUGGCACCACUGCACCCUACUGCCCUGGUCUCCCCACUUUUACACGCAACCCCUGAAAUCCAGUUCCUUGCAAUAACAGAGAGCUCUUUCACCAACACUUCAAAACUGGGAGACUUCUCUCUUUAAAAAAAUUCUAAUUUCUGGCUUCAUUAAAAAAAAAAACACCACCACCCAAAUCUGAACCUCUGGUGAUCCUGGGCCUGUGGCCUCCCCACGUGGCCCCACGUGAAUGGUGCACCCUCAGCUCCUGCAGCCCCUGUUGCUCCUGCCCUGGUAUAGUCACACUCAUCUGCUGCGUCUCAUAGAGGAGAGACGUGAUUUGUCUGUUCCAAGCUCCUGAAAGGGUGAUAGAAGGACUGUGGUCCAUUCAAACAGUAGAUUCCUGGCAUCUGCAAGGAGGCUGUUCGUGAGAUGAUCUGGAAGGAUCUCUGAGCUAUAUUAAAUAGAAAAUCCAGGUGCAGGUCAUCCGGUGUAUGUUGCUAUUUUUUGGUGUGUAGAGAAGUAAAAAAAAAAAAAAAAAAAGGAAUAGA